GGCGAACGCUGGCGGCAGGCCUAACACAUGCAAGUCGAACGAACUCUUCGGAGUUAGUGGCGGACGGGUGAGUAACACGUGGGAACGUGCCUUUUGGUUCGGAAUAACUCAGGGAAACUUGUGCUAAUACCGAAUGUGCCCUUCGGGGGAAAGAUUUAUCGCCAUUAGAGCGGCCCGCGUCUGAUUAGCUAGUUGGUGAGGUAACGGCUCACCAAGGCGACGAUCAGUAGCUGGUCUGAGAGGAUGACCAGCCACACUGGGACUGAGACACGGCCCAGACUCCUCCGGGGGGCAGCAGUGGGGAAUCUGGCGAAAGGGGCGAAAGCCUGACGCAGCCAUGCCGCGUGAAUGAUGAAGGUUUUAGGAUUGUAAAAUUCUUUCACCGGGGACGAUAAUGACGGUACCCGGAGAAGAAGCCCCGGCUAACUUCGU
rnacentral:rRNA from 1 species